rnacentral:rRNA from 1 species
UGGCGAACGGGUGAGUAACGCGUGAGGAACCUGCCUCAAAGAGGGGGACAACAGUUGGAAACGACUGCUAAUACCGCAUAAGCCCACGGGUCGGCAUCGACCAGAGGGAAAAGGAGCAAUCCGCUUUGAGAUGGCCUCGCGUCCGAUUAGCUAGUUGGUGAGGUAAUGGCCCACCAAGGCAACGAUCGGUAGCCGGACUGAGAGGUUGAACGGCCACAUUGGGACUGAGACACGGCCCAGACUCCUACGGGAGGCAGCGUG